AUCUCAUCAAAUUCCAUACAGGUGUUUCUGGUGCCCUCGCUGUUCCAUUCUAAUUUGAGCCAAACCUGGUUGGAAGUGGUUUGUCUGGAGAAAUACCACCAUCCCUUCAAGGACCAUGGCUUUUGUCAGCAUUUUUCCCUGCUAUGCCAGCACAGCUUCAAGAUUCAGCCAACACCUCUCCUGCCUACUCUGUGCCAGGUGAAAAAGCCAAGCUGAGAGUGGGAAAAGAGAGCUGAGGAGCCGAGAAGAAAUGAAACCCAAGGGAGUUACAGUGUGGGUGGAAUGGGUGAAAUGCAUUUAUUAAAAGAUACUGAAACCCAAAA